rnacentral:rRNA from 1 species
UACGUAGGGAGCGAGCGUUGUCCGGAUUUAUUGGGCGUAAAGAGCGCGUAGGCGGCUCGGUAAGCCGGAUGUGAAACCUCCAAGCUCAACUUGGAGCGGCCAUUCGGAACUGCUGUGGCUAGAGUCUGGUAGGGGAACACGGAAUUCCUGGCGUAGCGGUGAAAUGCUUAGAUAUCAGGAGGAACACCAGUGGCGAAGGCGGUGUUCUGGGCCAGUACUGACGCUGAGGCGCGAAAGCGUGGGGAGCGAACAGG